rnacentral:rRNA from 1 species
UACGAGGGGGGGCGAGCGUUUGUUCGGAAUUAUUGGGCGUAAAGGGCGCGUAGGCGGUCGGAUAAGUCUUGUGUGAAAUCUUCGGGCUCAACUCGAAGUCUGCACAGGAAACUAUCUGGCUUGAGUGUGGGAGAGGUGAGUGGAAUUCCUGGUGUAGCGGUGAAAUGCGUAGAUAUCAGGAGGAACACCUGUGGCGAAAGCGGCUCACUGGACCACAACUGACGCUGAGGCGCGAAAGCUAGGGGAGCAAACAGG